UGCGCGGCGCUGCCCCCGAAAUUCCCCAUCGGGCUGCUGCACGAGUUCCCGGAAUUGCGGCAUACCGGUGGCAUCAGAUGCGCGCCCUGGGCGCAGCCGGCAGGGUACACCGUCGUCGCGCCCGACACGAACAGGUACGACGGCUCCAACUUUCCCCACGUCAUGCAGGACCAGUACACCGUGCUGCAUGUCGUCGGCAACAUCGUCUGCCCAUCGAAUCCCUCGGCGAGAAGCACCUCUUCGUGGUGGCACAUGACCGAGGCCUGAUGAUAGCUGGGAGCAUGUGCUUGUUCCGGCAGGACAUGGUUAAACGUUGGCCGCGUUAGCCGUGGACAGCUCCAUGUCUUUGUUACAAAGACUCACAUCUGCCGCAUUCAGGAGCAGGACUGCAAGCUGCACUAGACGGGCGAAUGCGACAACUGGGACCGCCCCAGCAACAAGAGCAUGUAACUAUACUGCUGCAUGUAGUACGGUGUUCUUUGGGAUGUGUAGGAACUGUGGGCGUGGCAGAGCUCGACUACACCGCCCGCCCAUUCCCCGGCAAGAGCUUUGUCAACAGAUUCCACUGGCUCGCACCAGAUGUCUGAACUCCCAAACAGUUUCCAGCACCACAGAUUGCACAUACGAGAUACAUUCAUACUGCACAUUACAAGCAUAGAAGGCUAGCACAGAUAUCAAGGAACUUGUUUUAAACUCCCAAAGGGCAGCUACUAGUUAUCAGUGAAAGCACAGGCACGGCUGUGUCUGUACCCGACCCUGCAGUGUUACCGAAUUUUUAUGUUAAGUCAUCUCGGAACCAAACAGCAAGGCUGAAUUCCCUAUGCGCCUAUAUUUGAUGCUUUGCAGAGGACGGUAACUCUUUCAAGGGUAGAUGUAUACAGGUUGGCACUGCUUCAUUUGUUGGAAGGAUAUCAACUUCAGCAGCUCAAGCAUUCCAAUAAACCUGCAACGUAAGGAGAUCCUAGAAAUUCAAAUCAAGGUUGACACAAUUAUAGUUGGUCCAUACUCUGCAGCAGCUCAAGCAUCCCAGUAAAUCUGCAAGGU